GGUGAUGUUCAGAAGAUAGAAUUAUUAGAGGGUAAUCAGAAUGGAAGAAACUAAGCUCAUUAUGGGAAAUAGAAAACCUUACAAUGGUGAGCAGAUUGUUG